GGGCUGGGGCUCAGUGGUAGAGUGCUUGCCUAGCAUGCAUGAAGUACUGAGUUUGAUUCUUAGCACCACA
rnacentral:tRNA from 1 species